rnacentral:rRNA from 1 species
CAGUCGCCACGGGAAUACGUAGGGGGCGAGCGUUGUCCGAAGUUACUGGGCGUAAAGCGCGCGUAGGCGGCUUCUUAAGUCUGAGGUGAAAGGUUCAACGCUUAACGUGAACAGUGCCUUGGAUACUGGGGAGCUUGAGUAUGGGAGAGGGCAGUGGAAUGGCUGGUGUAGCGGUGAAAUGCGUAGAUAUCAGUCGGAACACCCAUGGCGAAGGCAGCUGCCUGGCCUAAUACUGACGCUGAGGUGCGAAAGCGUGGGGAGCGAACGGGAUUAGAUACCCCGGUAGUCCCUGUCUCUUAUA